rnacentral:rRNA from 1 species
UACGUAGGGUGCGAGCGUUAAUCGGAAUUACUGGGCGUAAAGCGUGCGCAGGCGGUUGUGCAAGACAGAUGUGAAAUCCCCGGGCUUAACCUGGGAACUGCAUUUGUGACUGCACGGCUAGAGUGUGUCAGAGGGGGGUAGAAUUCCACGUGUAGCAGUGAAAUGCGUAGAUAUGUGGAGGAAUACCGAUGGCGAAGGCAGCCCCCUGGGAUAACGACUGACGCUCAUGCACGAAAGCGUGGGGAGCGAACAGG